rnacentral:rRNA from 1 species
AGUGAACGCUGGCGGUAGGCCUAACACAUGCAAGUCGAACGGCAGCACAGUAAGAGCUUGCUCUUACGGGUGGCGAGUGGCGGACGGGUGAGGAAUACAUCGGAAUCUACUUUUUCGUGGGGGAUAACGUAGGGAAACUUACGCUAAUACCGCAUACGACCUACGGGUGAAAGCAGGGGAUCUUCGGACCUUGCGCGAUUGAAUGAGCCGAUGUCGGAUUAGCUAGUUGGCGGGGUAAAGGCCCACCAGGGCGACGAUCCGUAGCUGGUCUGAGAGGAUGAUCAGCCACACUGGAACUGAGACACGGUCCAGACUCCUACGGGAGGCAGCAGUGGGGAAUAUUGGACAAUGGGCGCAAGCCUGAUCCAGCCAUACCGCGUGGGUGAAGAAGGCCUUCGGGUUGUAAAGCCCUUUUGUUGGGAAAGAAAAGCGGCAGGUUAAUACCCCGCUGUUCUGACGGUACCCAAAGAAUAAGCACCGGCUAACUUCGUG